rnacentral:rRNA from 1 species
UACGUAGGGGGCUAGCGUUGUUCGGAUUUACUGGGCGUAAAGCGCACGUAGGCGGAUCGAUCAGUCAGGGGUGAAAUCCCAGAGCUCAACUCUGGAACUGCCUUUGAUACUGUCGAUCUGGAGUAUGGAAGAGGUGAGUGGAAUUCCGAGUGUAGAGGUGAAAUUCGUAGAUAUUCGGAGGAACACCAGUGGCGAAGGCGGCUCACUGGUCCAUUACUGACGCUGAGGUGCGAAAGCGUGGGGAGCAAACGGG